CUCAGUAGGAGAGAAUCAGUAGGUGAGAAUCAGUAGGAGAGAAUCAGUAGGUAAGAAUCAGUAGGUGGGAAUCAGUAGGAGAGAAUCAGUAGGAGGGAUCAGUAGGUGAGAAUCAGUAGGAGAGAAUCAGUAGGUGAGAAUCAGUAGCAGAGAAUCAAUCAUUAGGUGAAAAUCAGUAGGAGUGAAUCAGUAGGAGAGAAUCAACAAGAGAGAAUCAGUACGUGAGAAUCAGUAGGAGAUAAUCAGUAGGUGAGAAUCAGUAGGAGAGAAUCAGUAGGAGGGAUCAGUAGGUGAGAAUCAGUAGGAGGGAAUCAGUAGGAGAGAAUCAGUUGGAGAGAAUCAGUAGGUGAGAAUCAGUAGGAGAGAAUCAGUAGGAGGGAUCAGUAGGUGAGAAUCAGUAGGAGGGAAUCAGUAGGAGAGAAUCAGUAGGAGAGAAUCAGUAGGUGAGAAUCAAUAGGAGAUAAUCAAUAGGAGAUAAUUAGUAGGAGAGAAUCAGUAGGUGAGAAUCAGUAGGAGAGAAAUAUCCGGAUGAUGUACUGCUUCCGGUGAGAGUUUGCAAUGUGCAACUGAUG
ensembl:lncRNA